rnacentral:lncRNA from 1 species
GUUGGUCUCUUUAAUGUUUAAUUUUGCAAUUUCCAUGAAGUGAAUAUUGACCCUGAACUAAUAGAAAGAGUUCAACACAAUCCUACGCUGUAUAAAAAUGUCAGAAUUCAAGGAAGGCCAAAGUUUUUAAUCCGCUUAAAUAUUUUGUAAACCUUAUUCAAGGAAAAUCGCGAAAUUUUACACCCGUGAAAAUAACCCGGUAUACGGUAACUCGUGAAAAGGGUUUCUGACGAACGAAAUUUAUAAAUUAUUUUCUUGACUAGGUUUUCUGAAGGAAAGGUCUAGUUAUUAAAUUUGUGUAAUUACUUAUGAACCAACCAAC